rnacentral:lncRNA from 1 species
UUUUAAUUUAGAGCACCAUGCAUUCUUCAAACAACCUGCUUCUUCGAUCUCAAUGUUGAUCAACUGUUUUUUGAGUUGGUCAAAAUACUGUUGCAACCGUUUGGACGACUUUCCUGCUUAUUGAAGACGUCAAGCCUCACUGAUCGAAGAAGCUCAAGACGGCGUGCUACAUCACAAUACAUGGUGCUCGGGGACUAGCUGUGGGGGUAUAAACCCCUAUACCCUUACGGCUAGACUUCGGCCAGGAAGCUUGGCCCAUUACGAGACGAGUUCGAGGCUUGAUCCGACAACCUAGAGUUUCGCGCAAGGAAACAAGAUGUGGAGAUCAACCAGGAUUCUAGUCGGUUAGAAUAGGAAUUGAUAUCGAAUUAUCCAUGGCAAUUGUAACCGACUAGGAUUAGUUUCCAGAUCUGUAACCCUGCCCUUCAGACUAUAUAAGGAGAGGCAAGGGACCCCCCUAGGACAUCAUAUUCUCUCAACACAAAUCAAUACAACCAGACGCAGGACGUAGGUAUUACGCCAACUCGGCGGCCGAACCUAGAUAAAAAGCUUGUCCGUGUCUUGCGUCACCAUCGAGUUCGUAGUUUGCGCACCGUCUACCGAUAAACUACUACCGUGGGUAUACCCCAAGGUAGACUGCCGACCAGCUUUCGUCGACAUGCGGUUAAAAUCAAGAUUCACUUGCACGUUCACUCAUACAUGCUGCUUCUACUCCAGUAGUACGCAUCCACAUACAUCCACUCAUUUCCAUCUCCAGAUUCACCCAAAAUUAUUCUACUCCUAUAUAGGAGAGAAUAGCCAAAAACAUUAUCCUAUCCCUGUUAUUCCCCGUGAAAUAAAUGCUCGAGAUAUUUUGAUUACUACCACUUGCUACAUUAUUCCAGGAGGGUGAGUGCUCUAAAAAAAAGAAAAAAAAAAUAUGAGGAAAUAAAAAGGGGCAAGUGCCCGGAACCUCAAAGAAAAGAAGAAGUGAGACGAGAGGUAAAAAUGGACAAGUGUUAGACAGUAGAAUUAGGGGUACAAGAUACCCACCUGAGAGGAAAGAAAAAAAAAUAAUAUAGAGCAUCUCAUUCUUCUCAAAAAUCUUCAAAGUGCAAGAAAGGUAUGUAUCCCCUCAAAAGAGCAAAAGUAGAAUUAGACUUCCACCAUUGUUACCACCAUACACCAUUCAUUCACCACACAUGCACAUCUUGAUUUGACUUAUUGACUUGUUUCUUUCGAUCCAUGGUUUGACUAUGCAAUAAAUGUCUUGUAAGUUUGUAUUAGCUGUCUCCCACCUAUGAGCUCCAGAUAUCAAAACCUUGUUAGAGUAGGGUGAGAGAGAAGGCAAUAUCAUUAUGCCUCAUACGACAAAUACCACAUACUUUGAGAGAAGGCAUAUACCAUCACUGCCUUGGUAAGGAUCUAGAAAUACCACAAAAGAGAGACUAGAGAAAGUCAUACAAGGAAUCUCUGAGUUUUAUUUGAAAAUCUGCAAAAACUCUAGAGCUAUAGUUGAUCAAAGAACAAGAGACAUGGUGCUUGACUUGACUGUUCUAUCUUUUAACUGCUCAAGACACAAGUGACGGUCGCAAGCCCCAUGGUGGAAGGUAUAGAGAUGAGAUCAUGUUUGAACGCAUGCGUACCUUCAAGGCAUAAAAUCACUGCAGAAACUCUUGAGUCCGUCCUUGCUCAGGGACGAGCAAGAGGUAAGCUUGGGGGAGUUGUUGAUGGUCCUUAAGUACCAAAUAUAAUCAACAAAUUAAUAAAGAAAAGGAUCCAAAUGCAACCAACACCCAGACUUAGGGUUUUAUCUGACAGAAUUCCACGAGUUUUGGUGUUUGUCUAUUUUUGUAGGGGGUUAUCAGGAAAUAUGAAGGAAAGGCCCACAUGUUGGGUUUACAUAGAGAUAUUAACGUGCCGCGCAAUUUUCUAUCAUCUAGAAGACUCCAGAAGCCACGGGAACGAAUGGGAGGCCGAGCGGGCUCGAUGGUAGGGCGCCCGCCCUCCCCCCUUGGGCGCCCGCCCUGCUACAGUGGCCAAUCACGUUCAACCUCGCGGAUUAUGCUCCACCGACCUAAAGGAUCAAGGAUAACUGUUCAAUCAAUGUCGGUUUGAUCCGACGGCCCAGAUUCACUUGAGGGGACUAUAUAAGCAGACCCCCUGGCCCCUGGAGGAGGCACCCCUUGAUCAUUAUUCAUUAUUCAUAGACAGAGCAAAAGCUAGGGUUUGGAGAUGAGAGCUCUCCUCUCAUCUCUAAACUAGAGUAGAUCUAGAUAGU